GCCGGGCGCGGUGGCUCAAGCCUGUAAUCCCAGCACUUUGGGAGGCCAAGACGGGCGGAUCACGAGGUCAGGAGAUCGAGACCAUCCUGGCUAACACGGUGAAACCCCGUCUCUACUAAAAAAUACAAAAAACUAGCCGGGCGAGGUGGNNNNNNNNNNCGAGUGGCUGGGACUACAGGCACCCGCCACUGAGCCCGGCUCGUUUUUUGUCUUUUUUUAGUAGAGACGGGGGUUCACCGUGUUAGCCAGGAUGGUCUCGAUCUCCUGACCUCGUGAUCCGCCCGUCUU
rnacentral:SRP_RNA from 1 species